UACGUAGGAUGCUAGCGUUGUCCGGAUUUACUGGGCGUAAAGCGUGCGCAGGCGGUUUUGUAAGUCUGUCGUGAAAGCCCCGGGCUCAACCUGGGAAUUGCGAUGGAGACUGCAAGGCUUGAAUCUGGCAGAGGGGGGUAGAAUUCCACGUGUAGCAGUGAAAUGCGUAGAGAUGUGGAGGAACACCGAUGGCGAAGGCAGCCCCCUGGGUCAAGAUUGACGCUCAUGCACGAAAGCGUGGGGAGCAAACAGG
rnacentral:rRNA from 1 species